UUACUCUGGUAGCAGAUAUACUAAAAUUGGAACGAUACAGAGAAGAUUAGCGUGGCCCCUGCGCAAGGAUGACACGCAAAUUUGUGAAGCGUUCCUCAUUUUC
rnacentral:snRNA from 1 species